GUGGAUUAGAUACCCUGGUAGUCCACGCCGUAAACGAUGGGUGCUAGGUGUGGGGGGUGUCGACUCCCUCCGUGCCGAAGCUAACGCAUUAAGCACCCCGCCUGGGGAGUACGGCCGCAAGGCUAAAACUCAAAGGAAUUGACGGGGCCCCGCACAAGCAGCGGAGCAUGUGGUUUAAUUCGACGCAACGCGAAGAACCUUACCAAGGCUUGACAUGGUCGGGAAAGCCGUAGAAAUACGGUCCUCCUUCGGGACUCGAUCACAGGUGGUGCAUGGCUGUCGACAGCU
rnacentral:rRNA from 1 species